GCAGCUUCCCCAUCGCCCUGGGAGGGGCCCCUCGUCUAAGCUGCACGCAGAGUUAGGUUUCCUCUUUCCCGAUGGGAAUUCCAGGCUUGGGGGCUUUUCCGGCUCCUGUAAGGACACACGAGGAGUUCUUGGAAAGCUCUAAGAACCGGCCCACUGGCCCGAUUCUAGCAGGCGAGGCCACGCUAAUUCUGGUACCAGGGGGCUCCCCGAUGUUCGGAAUCGCCCGCCUCCUCCGUUGUCCAUGUGAUCAGACAGGACACAGGGGUGAGGAGGCUGUUUUCCCAACCCCAGACGGCGGGGGACAAAGAACUCAUCAGACCAGAUGAGGCGUCCGGGGCACUGGGAGGCUGUGGUCCAAGGCAAGAGAGAGUCUCCCUCCUGCUCAGGUGCCUGCCACGUGGACGGUGCUGCGGGGCAUCUCGGUGAGCCGGCGAGCACGUGCCAGGACUAUGGUGAGGACAGACCCCUUCCAUCUUGAACUGGCUUCUGCCGGAGCCAGCAGACCCUGAGCUCAGAGCCCCGUCCACGCUUCAUCGUAUUCAGUGGCCCAUGUGGACAGGACACGAUCAGCCCGACCACAUGGAGGCCACCUUCACGCCCGCACGAGAAAGCUCAGGAUCAGAACAGCCCACCAGAUCGCAGGGUCGGACUGGGGAUCGCAAGGACACGGGCAGGGCAGCCUGCCAGGCACCCAUGUCUGCAGGAAGCCAGGGAAGCCUGGC
rnacentral:lncRNA from 1 species